GAUGAACGCUGGCGGCGUGCCUAAUACAUGCAAGUCGAGCGAACGGACGAGAAGCUUGCUUCUCUGAUGUUAUCGGCGGACGGGUGAGUAACACGUGGUUAACCUACCUAUAAGACUGGGAUAACUUCGGGAAACCGGAGCUAAUACCGGAUAAUAUUUUGAACCGCAUUGUUCAAAAGUGAAAGACGGUCUUGCUGUCACUAAUAGAUUGAUCCGCGCUGCAUUAGCUAGUUGGUAAGGUAACGGCUUAGCAAGGCAACGAUGCAUAGCCGACCUCAGAGCGUCAUCCGACACACUGGAACUGAGACACAGCACAGACUCCUACGGGAGGCCGCAGUAGAGACUCUUACGCAAUGGACGAGAGCCUGACGGUGCAACGCCGCCUGAGUGAUGAAGCUGUUCGGAUCGUAAAACUAUGUUAUUAGGGAAGAACAUAUGUGUAAGUACCUGUGCACAUCUUGACGGUACCUAAUCAGAAAGCCACGGCUAACUACGUG
rnacentral:rRNA from 1 species